ACCUGUCUAGCUCAGUUGGUAGAGUGCAAGGCUCUUAACCUUUUGGUCGUGGGUUCGAGCCCCAUGGUGGGCC
rnacentral:tRNA from 1 species